rnacentral:rRNA from 1 species
AGAUAAUGCCUAGGAAUCUGCCUGGUAGUGGGGGAUCACGUUCGGAAACGGACGCUAAUACCGCAUACGUCCUACGGGAGAAAGCAGGGGACCUUCGGGCCUUGCGCUAUCAGAUGCAGCCUAGGUCGGAUUAGCUAGUUGGUGAGGUAAUGGCUCACCAAGGCUACGAUCCGUAACUGGUCUGAGAGGAUGAUCAGUCACACUGGAACUGAGACACGGUCCAGACUCCUACGGGAGGCAGCAGUGGGGAAUAUUGGACAAUGGGCGAAAGCCUGAUCCAGCCAUGCCGCGUGUGUGAAGAAGGUCUUCGGAUUGUAAAGCACUUUAAGUUGGGAGGAAGAGCAGUUACCUAAUACGUGAUUGUUUUGACGUUACCGACAGAAUAAGCACCGGCUAACUCUGUGCCAGCAGCCGCGGUAAUACAGAGGGUGCAAGCGUUAAUCGGAAUUACUGGGCGUAAAGCGCGCGUAGGUGGUUUGUUAAGUUGGAUGUGAAAUCCCCGGGCUCAACCUGGGAACUGCAUUCAAAACUGACUGACUAGAGUAUGGUAGAGGGUGGUGGAAUUUCCUGUGUAGCGGUGAAAUGCGUAGAUAUAGGAAGGAACACCAGUGGCGAAAGGCGACCACCUGGACUAAUACUGACACUGAGGUGCGAAAGCGUGGGGAGCAAAC